rnacentral:rRNA from 1 species
CGCCGAUGGAGGGGGAUAACUACUGGAAACGGUAGCUAAUACCGCAUAACGUCGCAAGACCAAAGAGGGGGACCUUCGGGCCUCUUGCCAUCGGAUGUGCCCAGAUGGGAUUAGCUAGUAGGUGGGGUAACGGCUCACCUAGGCGACGAUCCCUAGCUGGUCUGAGAGGAUGACCAGCCACACUGGAACUGAGACACGGUCCAG